UACGGAGGGGGCUAGCGUUGUUCGGAAUUACUGGGCGUAAAGCGCACGUAGGCGCCUUUUUAAGUCAGAGGUGAAAUCCUGGAGCUCAACUCCAGAACUGCCUUUGAUACUGGAGAGCUUGAGUCCGGGAGAGGUGAGUGGAACUGCGAGUGUAGAGGUGAAAUUCGUAGAUAUUCGCAAGAACACCAGUGGCGAAGGCGGCUCACUGGCCCGGUACUGACGCUGAGGUGCGAAAGCGUGGGGAGCAAACAGG
rnacentral:rRNA from 1 species